rnacentral:rRNA from 1 species
AGCGAACGCUGGCGGCAGGCCUAACACAUGCAAGUCGAGCGCCGUAGCAAUACGGAGCGGCAGACGGGAGAGUAACACGUGGGAACGUACCCUUUGGUUCGGAACAACCCAGGGAAACUUGGGCUAAUACCGGAUAAGCCCUCACGGGGAAAGAUUCAUCGCCGAAGGAUCGGCCCGCGUCUGAUUAGCUAGUUGGUGGGGUAAUGGCCCACCAAGGCGACGAUCAGUAGCUGGUCUGAGAGGAGGAUCAGCCUCACUGGGACUGAGACACGGCCCAGACUCCUCCGGGAGGCAGCAGUGGGGAAUAUUGGACAAUGGGCGCAAGCCUGAUCCAGCCAUGCCGCGUGGGUGAUGAAGGCCCUAGGGUUGUAAAGCCCUUUCGGCGGGGAAGAUAAUGACGGUACCCGCAGUAGAAGCCCCGGCUAACUUCGUGCCAGCCGCCGCCGUAA